GCCCCAUUUGUCUAAUGGUUAUGACGUCAGACUUCUACGUUAUAAGUAACGUGAUCUGGAGGUUGUGAGUUCGAGUCUCACAUGGGGCU